GACGAACGCUGGCGGCGUGCUUAACACAUGCAAGUCGAACGGUAAGGCCCUUCGGGGUACACGAGUGGCGAACGGGUGAGUAACACGUGGGUGAUCUGCCCUGCACUUCGGGAUAAGCCUGGGAAACUGGGUCUAAUACCGGAUAGGACCACUGCCUGCAUGGGUGGUGGUGGAAAGCUUUUACGGGGUGGGAUGGGCCCGCGGCCUAUCAGCUUGUUGGUGGGGUGAUGGCCUACCAAGGCGACGACGGGUAGCCGGCCUGAGAGGGUGACCGGCCACACUGGGACUGAGAUACGGCCCAGACUCCUACGGGAGGCAGCAGUGGGGAAUAUUGCACAAUGGGCGCAAGCCUGAUGCAGCGACGCCGCGUGAGGGAUGACGGCCUUCGGGUUGUAAACCUCUUUCAGCACCGACGAAGCGCAAGUGACGGUAGGUGCAGAAGAAGGACCGGCCAACUACGUGCCAGCCGCCGCGGUAA
rnacentral:rRNA from 1 species